GGAAUAACCGGCCGAAAGGCUGGCUAAUACUGGAUAGAGCGACGGAAUCCGUAAUUGGGUUUUCGGGAAAGGGAGGGAGCAAUCUCCUUUGCUCUGGGAUGAGCCUGCGUCUCAUUAGCUAGUUGGUGGGGUAAUGGCCCACCAAGGCUUUGAUGGGUAGCUGGUCUGAGAGGAUGAUCAGCCACACUGGAACUGAAACACGGUCCAG
rnacentral:rRNA from 1 species